UGAGGCUUUCCCACUCUUGAUAUGAUUGGUGAAGGCAGCGGCAGCGGAAGAUGGCGAGGCCCCGACGCUGGUGGAUGAGGGUAGCUCGGAAUAGGCCUGGCCCUGGGCAGGUGCCAGCGGUGCGGCAUCAUAGACAGAACGACUCCAUCGGGGCCCGCGUUCUCCUCGCUCCCCAGUAACGCCGACUAUGGAUCGUCACUCUCGCCCUUGCGAUUUCUCACCAUUUGGAUGGAAAUAAUGCGAAGGAAAUCUCGAUAUGCUGCUUUCCAACAAUUCCCACCUCAAUCUCGUCUACAGGCAGGCUUGAGAGAGAAAAAGGUGGAAACGGGGGGAAUAGGAGAUUGGCGGCUGGAAUUCUGAGGCCAGGCCAACGUGGGAGGCGGAAAUCGAUUAGGGCAGUAGCAACAAGCAAUCAGUCAGGCUUCCUUCCUUCAAUCCUGAUCCAGGUGAUUUUGUUCCAACUUUCUAUCUGAAUAUAUAUGUCAUAAUUUGUGUUGAUGUUCUGUUUUGAGAUUUCAUCUAGAAAGUGUAAGUUGGUCAAAAUAGACAAAAGAAAAAGCGAGACCGUGAAUUUUAAGAGCAUUUUCUUGAAUAUAAGCUGCUACUGAAAUAUUAAAAGAUGUGUUAUAACUAUUUUUGCAAAAAACAUGUCAGGGCUGGCCCUGGAUCGGAAGGGAGGAUAAGAUGUCAAACCCAAGUUAUUAUCAGGUUCAUCUAAUCUCAAUCCACAUGUUUUUGGCUACUCUGCAUGUAUCCUUCAGAUAUGCAAUAUCGUAAAAUGUAUGCAAACUUUGGUCUAAGGUGCCUAAGGUUCCUAUUGUUGCCCACUCCAAUCAGCUUCUGUGAUACAGUUAUCUGCUUCCAUUCCUCUAGAUAUAUUUGUUUAUGCAGGUUCGGUUGGCUGCGGCCAUUCGGUGAUACGAUAUAGCUCAGUGGCAUGCUCACCGAUCGAUUUGUAAAAAUGAAACAACUCCUGAACUGUUUUGCUGUGAGUUACUAUAUACUAGAAGAGAUUAUUUACCAGAUGCAA